rnacentral:lncRNA from 1 species
GGAGAUUUCUGCUUUGUCAAGGCUCCAGCAGCGAGCCAUGCGGAUGCUGCCAGCCCGGCGGGUUGCGAUGGGGAGGCAGAGCUCACCCAACAGCAUCCCCAGUGCUGUCUCUGAUGUGGCACCACGGGCUUGCACACAGAGACACGACUGAGUGCUUGUGCUGAAGCCUCACAUGUGCCUUUACGCCGAUGAAGCCGAGUCAGCCGCCAGACAUCCACCGCAAAGUCUCUGCUGUCCUCAGCCGGGAUCUAGCCUGUGACCUUCAGCACUAGGAACGCCAGGCUCUGUUGCCCGAGCUAGAGAAAAUAUUCUGCAGCUGCAAGAAAAUCCCAAGCUCUGCCGUGCUUUUGCCCACUAGAGGGAAGUGCAUUCACACGCACACGGGUGAGCGUACAGCCAUGCACAUGCAGUGCCUCUCUCCGCUCCCUGCCCACACCAGGACCGCGCUGGACCCAACAGGGAGGCUGCCGGUGCCUCUGGCCACCCACCAUGAUGUCUUUGCCAAAAUGCUGCUGGUAGCUGGGCAGGGCAAUGGGCUGCCCAUCCCUUGCCGCUAUCAACACGCUUGCACGGGCACUGUAGGCAAAUUGCUCCUCGGUGGAUAAACAUACAGGGGUGAAACUGGAGCUCUGCAGGGAAAGGAUUCAGCCACACGCUCACUGUGGAGCUGUGCUUGAAUUGGUGGAGGAAUAUGGAGCGUCUGGCCCCAAGCCAUUUCAGCCCUGUCUGCACUUCGCAAACUGCUAUACGCACAGAUGUAAUCCAUACAGAUGGGUUUUAAACAUGAGCAGCCAUGGCAAUGCAGUCAGGCGCACUCAGUAACAGUAUGUAUAUGUAAGCAGUCAAACACAGGCUGUAUGAAAUUAUAUAUAUGUGCCCAAAUACAUGCUGUGCUGCCUGUCUGUCCAGCCAGCCAGGUUAGAUUAUCUCCUCCUCAGUAGAAUGGCUUAUGAAACAAAGCUUCUAUGCAAAUGUAUGCUGAUGCAAUGUAAGAGAAGACCUAUCCCCAUGAACACAGAACCAAGUGCCGUGGUGCUUUGCUGUACAUUGUUAAGUGUGGGUUGCCUCCAUCCCAGGAUUGCUGCCUUCUAGCUGUAGUGGGAGAACAUCCCAUCAAGAUGCCAGCUACUUCUGUGAUCGGUGGAAAUGAAGCUCGUUUUCCAUGAAUAUGUAUCCUGUGGUUGAAUUCCUGGGUGUGUAGUUAAUUAGGAACUCAGAUGGAAUUAACUUUUUCAUGAAACUUGUGAGAACUUAAUGUAUUUGAGGUUGCUAGCUCUAAAUCACAUUUGACUAUGACUGGUCAAUUAGAUCAGAUGUUAUUAGAUGGGAUAUUGUAGUGAAAUAAGGAGAUACAGAUGUUCUCAUAUCUGAACAUGGGGCAUGAUUUUGAUGGGAAACCAGUCCAAUAGGGCAGGUUUGAAAGUUUAAUUUUAUCUGUGCUUUGACUGAGGUGUGUCAUGUUAUCCA